CUCUCUCUCUCUCUCCCUCCCUCCCGCCACCUCCCCUCCCCUUCAACCUCUUCGCUUUCCUCCGUUGCCCCUCUCCACCGGUGCUCCUGCUCCCCGCCGCCGCCGCCUGCUCCCGCGGGAUCCAGAUCCGGUGCGGGGCGCAGCUCGGAGGGAGAGGAGGCGAGAUCCGCGACGGCCUGGUGCGCCUCUCCGCGUGGUGCGCCUCUCUGCUUCCACCUCUACAACCCCGACGACCGUGCGCCUCUCUGCGUGGUGCUCGUGCUCAAGCGCCACCCGUGCAUCGAAGCCAACAUCAGCCGCAUUGAGGAGAUCGAGGAGCCGGUCGACCCCGCCCUCGCCCUCGCAUGCGCCAAUAAUCCCGCGUGACUCGGCGGGGUCGACUCCCCGAUUGUCCGCCUUGUCGCCAGCGAGGUCGGCGUCGGACAGGACACCGUGCCCUUCGUCUAGCUCGGCGAGUUCCGGCAGACGCGCGCCAUCUACGAGCUCGAGGAUGGUGGCCUCGUGCUGGAGCUCGAUGAGAUGCGGUUCGACUUCGGGACUAGCUACGAGCUCGAGUGCGAUGGCUGAGCCUGACGGGCCAAGGAGGUCCUGGCGCGCCUGCUCACGGUGGCCACCGUGCUGUUGUUCGCUAGGGGCGUGCGGAAGAUGGAGAGGGCACUGCCGGCGGCAACGCUGCGGGAGAAGCUGCCCAGGUCCCUCUCCGUAUCCUCUCUCCUCAUCUUCACUGCCUCCUCUAAUCUCUCCUCUCUUCUAUGUAGCUCUCUUUGAACAUGAGCAGUUACUGUUUUAUAUUGUUGGAUCUUAUUUGUUUAGCAUUAACUCACUAUCAGAAGAUGAACCAAUAUGCUUAGCUCUGGUUGUGUAGGUUGGUUAAUUUGAGAGACGUAUCAUCAGUUGCCAUUUUGUUCUGAACAUCAUCAACAACCACCUACAAGGCCAGCAAACGGUCCUCCAUCAGCUCUACGAGAUGAACCCACCGUCCUACAACUUGGCUCUAUAGCUACGUUCUCGUCAGGUUGGACCAUUAGAUGGCGAUUAUUUCCUUCACCUGCUCGCAAAGGAGAGGCAGGACCUGGCCGAGUAAGUGAUGAUCACAUGCCUUCACCUAUACGGCAAAUGGAUCAAGAUCCCGUUCAUUGCCUAACAAGAAAGUUGCUAAGAAGCUAUUUACUGGUGAAGAAACUGUUGGCAGUGAUAGUGGUGAAGCCACCUCUGAUCAGAACAGGUGCUAGACAUUAAAUUAUUAUCCUUUUGCACUCCAAGCAAGGAUGCAUGAGUAAUGAAGCUCAUGUUGAUUGUCUCUGCCAGUUGCCGACAGCUUUUGUGUGGCCUUCGUCUCUGGCAAUAAAAGUCCGAUGCUUGGGAUCUGAAGUAUGCAUCGACCUCUGCGUUACAAACUGUGGCAUAGUGAUUAGCUUUUGGUCUCAGUUAUAUUCAAAGCUGCCAGUUAGUUUGUUUGGUAGCUAUGCGUAUGCGUAUAGAUUUAUAGUGCUCGGAUGUGCUGUGCUUGGAUGCACUGUGAUGUUGAUGAUUGAGAUGCCGGGCAGACACCUGAUGGAUAGGUGAUGCGGAUAUGUUGUAAUAUUUAUUAUUCAGAUGCAGGCCAGGCGGCCAGACACUUAAUGGCUAGGAUAGCGAUGUGUUGUGGUAUUUAUGAUUCAAAUGUCAUAGACAACUAUCUUAACAUGAUGAUGAUGUGCUUGUUACUAGAUGUUAGAUGUUAGUGGUUUCGUAUUGAAUUCAUUUUA